AGAGAGAGAGAUCAACACUCAGAGAUCAUCCAGAGCUCUGAGAUAAUAAUAGAGAGCCCCUGAGAAAGCCAGCCCUGAUUACAGAAUGGGCCCCACCUGAGAGAAAUUAGGUGAUUCCAGGUUUAACUACUGAGUGGGCCCAGCUGAGGAAGGGCUGGAGGAAAGAGAAUGCAGGGAGUCAAAAGGUGCCUGCAGGGUCUUGAGUGAGCACCUAGGGAGCAGAUUGGGAGACCUAGAAGGGAAGUAAAGAGGGGAGGAAGGAAAUAAUGUAGGGAAAACUGCACUAUGGGUAGAGGAUUUGACAUAGCUGUGCAGUACAGGACCCUGGCCUGUAACCCAGAAUUGAGGUUGGGACUGGAUUCCCCUACCAGCCCCAAGGAAGUGGUGUACAAGGGUUGGUGAGCCCUGCGAGGGGGCUGCAGGCUGAAUGUGACCGUGCUGAAGAAGAGCUGUGGAGAGGGUAGAAGCUUUUUAUUUCUGUUAAGAGAAUUCUGAACUUUAGUUUUGAUAGCUGACCUUGGAAGGAACGGGCUAAAGACUGUGUCCUGGCUGGAGGGAUGAGUUCUCUGAAAGAAACCACCACAGCCCCAGAGUGACUGCUGACAAGAGCUGCUACCCACAAGGACGCUGUCAUGCUAUGUCUGGCCAUGAGGAAGUGCAGAGUGGUCUUUGGAAGACAUUUCAUACAAAACAAAAUCACAGAUUGCCUACUUGAAACUUUCUUUUUUGGAUGGGAUAAGUAUUGCUGGACCUCAAAGCAAAUCGUGCAGUGGGGAGACACUGCAGUGCAUUGAAUGUGGCUGCAUGAGCUGUUGCCAAGAUGAUGCUGUCAGGAGUUGUUCCAGGACCCUGGACCAGUUGAAGUUUCAUCUAGAUUGGACUGAUUGAGGAAGUACAGUGGAAGGUAAAGGCAUGUAUUACUGCAGCCAGGGCUUCAUCUGGGAUGGCCACAGGGGUUGUUUCCUGCUUCUGUUGUGCAUAGCUGGAAGUGUACAACACAACUUGUUUCUUUACUGAUUGUUUUCCGCUAAUUUAACAUACACGUGAUAACUUGUUGUAGGGAGUUCGGACAACUCACCAUGAUGGUGUCCCUUCUUGGCAUGCACUAUUUUAUUUAUAAAAGUGGAUAUUAUUAUUUCUGACCUUCUGGGAAGGACUAAUGGACAGGCAGAUCCUGAAGAGGUGGAGCCAUAUUUCAAAGCCAGUCAAUAAAUUACCUAUCUACUUUA